rnacentral:rRNA from 1 species
GAUGAACGCUGGCGGCGUGCCUAAUACAUGCAAGUCGAGCGAACAGACUAGGAGUUUGCUCCUCUGACGUUAUCGGCGGACGGGUGAGUAACACGUGGAUAACCUACAUAUAAGACUGGGAGAAGUUCGGGAAACCGGAGCUAAUACCGGAUAAUAUAUUGAACCGCAUGGUUCAAUAGUGAAAGGCGCAUUUGCUUUCACUUAGAGUUGGAUCCUCGCCGCAUUAGCUAGUUGGUAUGGUAACGGCUUACCAAGGCAACGAUGCGGAGCCGAACUGAGAGGAUGACCGGCCACACUGCAACUGAGACGAGGUGCCAACUCCUGCGGGAGACACGGGUAGGGAAUCUUCCGCAGGGGGCGACAAGCUAACGGAGCAAAGCCGCGUGAGUCAUGCCGGGCAUCGGAUCGUAAAACAAUAUUAUUAGCGAAGAACAAAUGUGUAAGUCUAUAUGCAAGUCUUGACGGUACCUAAUCAGACAGCCACGGCUAACUACGUG